rfam:Triticum aestivum genome assembly, contig: Triticum_aestivum_CS42_TGACv1_scaffold_061200_1DL
UAUAUACUCGCUCUGUCCGGAAAUACUUGUUGGACAAAUAGAUGUAUCUAGACGUAUUUUAGUUCUAGAUACAUCCAUGUUUAUCCAUUUCUCCGACAAGUAUUUCUGGAUGGAGGGAGUAUCUC